rnacentral:lncRNA from 1 species
AUCCUUCCUCCCCAGCGGCAGUGUGUGUCCCAGGGAGCAGAAGGUGCCGUCCUCCCUCCCCAGCGGCAGUGUGUAUCCCAGGGAGCUGAAGGUGUCGUCCUUCCUCCCCAGCGGCAGUGUGUACCCCAGGGAGCAGAAGGUGCCAUCCUUCCUCCCCAGUGGCAGUGUGUAUCCCAGGGAGCCAAAGGUGUCGUCCUUCCUCCCCAGUGGCAGUGUGUACCCCAGGGAGCUGAAGGUGCCGUCCUUCCUCCCCAGCGGCAGUGUGUACCCCAGGAAGCAGAGACCGUCUGUCUCGCACCCCAGCCGCAGGACAAAAUAUUGAAAGGGGAGACAGUUGGUCCCCCUCUCCACCAGCAAAGAGAGUGUCAGGGAGAGGAGCAGGUUACCCCCUCUCCCCAGCGGCAGUCUACAGUUCAGAGAGAGGAGCUUGUUACACCCUCUCUCCAGCG